UCCCUCUCGGGGUUGCACCUGAAGAGUUUCCAGUACUCUACCAGUCUCGACUAUGGGAGGGAGAGUGAAGCAGAGGCAGACCCAUUCCAUUCUUAGCUUGGGCAGUGGCUAGUGAGUAGAAGGCAGUCUGCUACAGGU